GGGGAUGAAGAGCUUUUGCUUUGCUGACUGUGAUGAGCACGCCCUUCACUGACCC
rnacentral:snoRNA from 1 species